UACGGAGGGAGCUAGCGUUGUUCGGAUAUACUGGGCGUAAAGCGCACGUAGGCGGCGCCGUAAGUCAGGGGUGAAAUCCCGGAGCUCGACUCCGGAACUGCCUUUGAAACUGCGGUGCUAGAAUCCUGGAGAGGCGAGUGGAAUUCCGAGUGUAGAGGUGAAAUUCGUAGAUAUUCGGAAGAACACCAGUGGCGAAGGCGGCUCACUGGCCUGGUAUUGACGCUGAGGUGCGAAAGCGUGGGGAGCAAACAGG
rnacentral:rRNA from 1 species